UACGUAGGGGGCAAGCGUUGUCCGGAUUUAUUGGGCGUAAAGAGCUCGUAGGCGGUUUGGUAAGUCUGGUGUGAAAUCUCCACGCUCAACGUGGAGGGGCCACCCGAUACUGCCAUGACUGGAGUCCGGUAGAGGAGUGUGGAAUUCCCGGUGUAGCGGUGAAAUGCGCAGAUAUCGGGAGGAACACCGGUGGCGAAGGCGGGUCUCUGGGCCGAUACUGACGCUGAGGCACGAAAGCGUGGGGAGCAAACAGG
rnacentral:rRNA from 1 species